UACGGGGGGGGCAAGCGUUGUUCGGAAUUACUGGGCGUAAAGGGCUCGUAGGCGGCCAACUAAGUCAGACGUGAAAUCCCUCGGCUUAACCGGGGAACUGCGUCUGAUACUGGAUGGCUUGAGUUUGGGAGAGGGAUGCGGAAUUCCAGGUGUAGCGGUGAAAUGCGUAGAUAUCUGGAGGAACACCGGUGGCGAAGGCGGCAUCCUGGACCGAGAUUGACGCUGAGGCGCGAAAGCUAGGGUAGCAAACAGG
rnacentral:rRNA from 1 species